UAAGAAAAUAAUAUUUGGUACAUUAUACAAUACAAAUUUUGUAGAAUCAAAAUUCUCAAUGAUGUACAUUAUAACUGUAUAACAACAAGUAGUAUAACUAUUAUUUGAAAAAUAUUGUUAUGUGGCUAAGUAAUAAAAAUAUAUUAAUUAAAAUUCUUAUAUUAUACAGUUAGUUUAAAAUAAGUAUAAAUGUUUGUUAGAAAAAAAUAAUUGUUUUACAUGGCCCCGGGCCAAAAACUGGUUUGGACUGGCUCUGGGCACCAUCUUGAUCGUAAAUCGAUUGAUCUUAAAUUGUUGCCAUUACUUCUGCUGAGUAUCUUAUUCAUUUUUUUGUUUAGAUGUUGAAUUUUAAUGUUUGUGCAGAAACUAUUCAAAGUGCUACAGAUUGUCAAGCAAUUGAUGAGGCAGCAAAUUGUUGCUCCAAUAAGGCUGCUGCUUCUUUGACUAUUCAAGCUGCUAUUCCUACGGUACCUUGAAAAUCCAGAACCCCUACUACCAGGACGAGCUCAACUAAAACUGCAGCCAUAGCAAAGCCUAGAACCGUCUCUUCUAUUAUCACAAGAUCUAUGAAGUCAGUCACAUCUGAAAAAAACAAAGUGUCCAUUGUAUAUAAUGCAUGUAUGCUAAAGCAUCGGAGGGUAAGCACUAAUGACGUGCCUGCAAGAAUUGAUGCGAUAAUGAAGAAGCUCAAACAAGAUGGCAUGUUAAAUAAGUGUGAUGCAUUCGAUGCACAUGUUGUUGAUUUUAAGCAUGUUGUGCCUGUUCACACAAAGGAGUAUUUCAAAGUUCUUCUGGAUCUGCCUCUAGAGGAAAAGAGAAAGAUGAUGCAUAUACGGAUUUCUUUGGAACUGAUAUAGAAUAUUGCUCUGAUUCAAAGAAUGCGAUUUUAGCAGCUGCGGGAGCCAUCAUACAGAUGCUUUCACGGAUGUGAUAUGGUCAUGACUGGACAAUGCAAGCACGUGUUUGCUAUAAUUCGCCCCUCUCAUCAUGUAUCGCGGAAUAAGGGUCUGGGUUUUGCUUUAUCAACAAUAUUGCCUUGGG